CGGGCUGAGUAACGCGUAGGAACGUACCCCAAACUGAGGGAUAACUGCUCGAAAGAGUAGCUAAUACCGCAUGUGCUCUAAGGAGUAAAGCUUCGGCGGUUUGGGAGCGGCCUGCGUAUGAUUAGAUAGUUGGUGAGGUAAUGGCUCACCAAGUCUACGAUCAUUAGCUGGUCUGAGAGGAUGAUCAGCCAGACUGGGACUGAGAACGGCCCAG
rnacentral:rRNA from 1 species